AAAUCAUAAAUCUUUGUCCCAGAGUUUCUGAGGCUCAGUUAGACUUCCUGGCCUAUCUAUUCUUUGUGCUAAUGGGUGGUUUGCCUCUUCUAGUGUAGCAUCUGUACUUUUAUUCAUGUUCAUUGUGUUCAUUCCUUUCUUUACAGCUAUCAAAAGGUUUCUGUCAACAAAUGCUGCUGUUUCUCCUGGACUACCCGUUUGAUGCCUGUUACUUAAUACACAAAAGCUUCCGCCUCCGCUGCUUAUUCACAAAGCAGGCUGCCAUUGUACUGAAAAGUAUGGCUGCAGCCAAGAAGCAGAUGGUGGCCACGAUGCCAGCCACAACUGGCCUUGCCAACCCUGAUUCCUCAACCAUCUCAGGAGGUGGAAAGAAGUCUGCAGACAUUUCCUGCUGACACGCUGCUUACACAGAGGAAAAGCGGACGUUGCUGAGGACAGGGGAAGGGUGUGUAAAGUAGGACGCUAGAGCCACACCCCCAACAACCAUUCCCAUAAAGAUAAGUUUGAGUGCAGCUGGACGAAGCUAAUUUGUGAGGAUGAGAGGGGUGCAUUUCUUUUUUUUUUUUUUCUUCCUGUCUCUCUCACUUCUGUAUCACAAAGGUGAAUUUUUGCUUGGGCUUCAGUUAGGGGU